CUUUCCAGAUUUUUUAAAGCCAUUAAGAUACAUCAUUGUCCUGUUGGGUUUGGCAACUCUGAAGAUGACAUCAUUGUGUGUUGUAAUCCUGCUGCGGAGGAAGGCUGAAGCAUGAGGCCCACUGAUGAAGACGAUGCUACAGCAAAGUACAAAAACAUUGCAUUGUCUCCCGUUUGUGUUGUGAGCCAGUCAUAAAAAUUGGGGGCUUGUCCGGGAUUUGAAUCUGGGACCAUCAAGUUGAAUAAGCAAAUUUAACAUGGUUAAAGUUUAAUCCACAUGAGCUAUAUGAAC